rnacentral:rRNA from 1 species
UACGGAGGGGGUUAGCGUUGUUCGGAAUUACUGGGCGUAAAGCGCACGUAGGCGGAUUGACAAGUUGGGGGUGAAAUCCCGGGGCUCAACCCCGGAACUGCCUCCAAAACUGUCAGUCUUGAGUUCGAGAGAGGUGAGUGGAAUUCCGAGUGUAGAGGUGAAAUUCGUAGAUAUUCGGAGGAACACCAGUGGCGAAGGCGGCUCACUGGCUCGAUACUGACGCUGAUGGACGAAAGCGUGGGUAGCGAACAGG